CAGCAGCCACGGUAAUACGUAGGUGGCAAGCGUUGUCCGGAAUUAUUGGGCGUAAAGGGCUCGCAGGCGGUUUCUUAAGUCUGAUGUGAAAGCCCCCGGCUCAACCGGGGAGGGUCAUUGGAAACUGGGAAACUUGAGUGCAGAAGAGGAGAGUGGAAUUCCACGUGUAGCGGUGAAGUGCGUAGAGAUGUGGAGGAACACCAGUGGCGAAGGCGACUCUCUGGUCUGUAACUGACGCUGAGGAGCGAAAGCGUGGGGAGCGAACAGGAUUAGAUACCCGCGUAGUCCCUGUCUCUUAUAC
rnacentral:rRNA from 1 species